GAAAUAUGUUAAUUACUUUUAAAUGCUAGAUUUAGAUUAUGUAUUUGUAGUCUCAUACACUAUUCAUACAGGAUUUUUGCAUUUGUUUCUUUUCCAAUAAAAGAAUUGAAAAAAAUUACCUAAGUUAUUAAUCCUUAUUGGAAUGCAGCUGAAAACUUAAUAUGAAAUUGGAUGUCUCAACUAACAUGCUUAAUUAAGGACAAAGAACAUGAGUUCUUCUCUAUUACACUUAGUCUCAGCAACAAUAUGAAAAUCAGGAAAAUAUAUCUUGAGAUUUCAAAAGCGGAUGCAUACCCCAGAUUCUCCAACCUCAGAAAAGCAGUGGGCCUACAGUCGUGGGAGCCAAAGGUCCCCUUGCACUCAGCAUGACGUCUACCUUUUCUUCCACUUCUGCUCUGCCUGCUGCUGGAAAACCCACUCUUUACUCUGAAACACACAAAACUGCUCGUGUGUGGGCACCUUCUUCCACUUUUCCCUGUUUCUAAGUUCAUGUAACUGAAUCUAGGUUUCUCAUGGAUUGUAUUCAAGUAUUUAAAAAUGGUAGAAUUCGGCUGGGAGCGGUGGCUCAAGCCUGUAAUCCCAGCACUUUGGGAGGCCCAGACGGGUGGAUCACGAGGUCAGGAGAUCGAGACCAUCCUGGCUAACACGGUGAAACUCCGUCUCUACUAAAAAAAAUACAAAAAACUAGCCAAGCGUGGUGGCGGGCGCCUGUAGUCCCAGCUACUCGGGAGGUUGAGGCAGGAGAAUGAUGUAAACCCGGGAGGCGGAGCUUGCAGUGAGCUGUGAUCGAGUCACCGCACUCCAGCCUGGGCGACAGAGCGAGACUCCAUCUCAAAAAAGAAAAAAAAAAGGGGGGUAGAAUUCAAUGUGUUAGUUGUAUUUUCCCUUGUUCUUCAUUUUCUGUCAAAAGCAGAGGUUUUCAAUCUACAGUUCUCAUGCCAAAUGAUCCUGACCUUUUUUUGUAAAGGUCUUAAGCUAAGAGCUUCUUUUAUAUUUUUAAAGGGUUGGAAAAGAAGAGGAGGCAGAAGAGGAAGAAAGACAGGAAGAAGGAGAAAAAUAAGAAGGGGAAGAGAAAGGGGAGGAAGCAGAGGAAGAAGAAGAGGCUGCCACAGUGUCGGGACAGAGAUGGUUACUCAGGUCUACGAUUGAAGGUAUAUAUGGCCAUCAAAUCCAGUGAAGCCUUCUGCCAGUAGGGCCUGAACAGCUGAAUGUUAAACCCUGUUUCUGAAGAAUUGGCAUGUCUGCUUUCUAACAUGCACAGUGACAAGUUAACUGGGGUAGGGCAAGAGGCUGAAGGACCUACUGCAAGUUAAAACCUAAAAUAAACAGAAUAGAGUCACUAGUGGAUACUUUAAAAAGGAAUUUAUGGCCAAUUUCCUCAUUUCCCC
rnacentral:lncRNA from 1 species